rnacentral:rRNA from 1 species
CACGUAGGGGGCAAGCGUUGUCCGGAUUUACUGGGCGUAAAGAGCGUGUAGGCGGCCACGCAGGUCCGUUGUGAAAACUGGAGGCUCAACCUUCAGACGUCGACGGAAACCGUGUGGCUAGAGUCCGGAAGAGGAGAGUGGAAUUCCCGGUGUAGCGGUGAAAUGCGCAGAUAUCGGGAAGAACACCCGUGGCUAAGGCGGCUCUCUAGUACGGUACUGACGCUGAGACGCGAAAGCGUGGGGAGCGAACAGG